CGCCUGAAGCGUGGCAGGCCAUUAGGUUCUAAAGAUCGAAAUCCUAGAAAGAGGAAAGCAAAAGAUAAAAAUGACACUACGAAAGAAUCUCACGAGGAAAUUCAUGAUUUAACAAAAUCUGAGAUUCAUGAAGAAUCCAUUGAGCCCGAGACUCUGGAAAAUACGGAACUAUCCCUAAAUCCAAUUAAUAUUGAGGCAAAUAUUAAUCGAGUGNNN
rnacentral:lncRNA from 1 species